CUGAUAGCUGCUAAUGAAGAUGAUUUUAAAAAAGCUUCUUCAAAAUGAAAAUUUUAUUACUAUUAUUAUUAAUAUGCCCAGAGCAAGGAGUUAAAACAAAGAAGAGCAAAGGAUUAAAAUAAAUAUAACCAUAUACAUUUAAGUCCUUGCAAACAUCUGCAAGUUUCUUCUGCCUGGAGCCUGGAUCUCUAGACUGGUAAACACAGACUUCUCUGCUGCAUUUCCACCCAGGAAGCUGGCACCCCAUUCAAACUCUAAGCUAGCAUUUUUAAGCCACUGAUUGUAAAUGAAACUUAAGAAGAAGUACUGUUUCUAGUCUAGUUGGAUGCGGGCCAAGGGUGUUUCUGAGUUAAACAGGUUUAAGUUGUUAAUGAUCUACUUUAACUCUGUGAAGUCAGAUCAUGUAAUACGGCAAGACUGAGCAAUUACCGAGAUGUGUGUGCUAGCUACUAAAAUAAAUAACUAAAUAUACCCUUCUCCUGAACACCGUAAUGUCUGUGGAGUGGUUGUUCCUCUUCUCCUGAAGAAAUUACUCAGUUUGCAUGCCUGGCUCUAGAGAAAAAGGUAGUGAGAGGCCUGAGGAUGUGAAGAGUAACAGCUGAGGUAGUAUUUGUCCUUAUGAAGUAAUAAAGAAUUAUUAAGAACUUAAGAUAUUUUAUUGUUUGGGGGAUUUAAAUGGUAUAUGAAAGAGGUUAGAAUUUCAUCAUUAAAAGUAUGACUUUUUUGUUGCUUUUUAACAAACAAGAGAAAAGGAGAAUCAUAAAGAACAAUCAGGGAAGAUGAUACACCAUUUUUGAGGAGCAAACAAAUAGAAGUCAAUAUGAAAAAGAUAACAAAAGGAAAUCCUGACUGCUGUACUCCAGUUCAGCCUCUCUGGCUGAUAUUUAAACCUGUGCUUGGCUUCUCACCGCUUCUCAACUGAAGAGCAUAAAAGCAAAGAUUCCACUAGGUGAGAUCACUGAUUUUGAGAACAUACUUUAUAGAUUUAAAAAAAAUAUAAUUAUCUGCUUGUGCCGUUCUUGCACUUUGUCCUCUUUCAAUGACACCUGGGAGCACCCUAAGUGAAUAUGGAGGCUGGAUGUCUCACCAAAGCCAUAUAAAAGGCCAGGGCCAAAUGGCUAACAUUAUAAUACAUUAAUGUUAUAUUAACAUAGUAUAUUUACAGUCUCAUUGUUCUCAUUUUGAUGUAAACCAAUAUCGUAUUGGAACUGCUAUUUUUGAUCCACCUGCCUGUAGUUUAGCAUUUGGAUGCAGAAUUUUGACACUUGCAUAGUCUUUCUGAUAUUAAGGGCAGAGAACAGACUCCAAAUGACUCCAUUCCAG
rnacentral:lncRNA from 1 species